rnacentral:rRNA from 1 species
GACGAACGCUGGCGGCGUGCCUAAUACAUGCAAGUAGAACGCUGAAGGAGGAGCUUGCUUCUCCGGAUGAGUUGCGAACGGGUGAGUAACGCGUAGGUAACCUGCCUGGUAGCGGGGGAUAACUAUUGGAAACGAUAGCUAAUACCGCAUAACAGUAGAUAUUGCAUGAUAUCUGCUUGAAAGGUGCAAUUGCAUCACUACCAGAUGGACCUGCGUUGUAUUAGCUAGUUGGUGAGGUAACGGCUCACCAAGGCGACGAUACAUAGCCGACCUGAGAGGGGGAUCGGCCACACUGGGACUGAGACACGGCCCAGACUCCUACGGGAGGCAGCAGUAGGGAAUCUUCGGCAAUGGACGGAAGUCUGACCGAGCAACGCCGCGUGAGUGAAGAAGGUUGUCGGAUCGUAAAGCUCUGUUGUAAGAGAAGAACGAGUGUGAGAGUGGAAAGUUCACACUGUGACGGUAUCUUACCAGAAAGGGACGGCUAACUACGUG